CCUACGGGAGGCUGCAGUGAGGAAUAUUGGUCAAUGGGCGGAAGCCUGAACCAGCCAAGUAGCGUGCGGGAUGAAGGCCCUACGGGUCGUAAACCGCUUUUGCACGGGGAUAACACCCUCCACUUGUGGAGGUCUGCAGGUACCGUGCGAAUAAGGGCCGGCUAAUUCCGUGCCAGCAGCCGCGGUAAUACGGAAGGCCCGAGCGUUAUCCGGAUUCAUUGGGCUUAAAGGGAGCGUAGGCGGGCGUUCAAGUCAGCUGUAAAAGCGCGCGGCUCAACCGCGCCCCGCAGUUGAAACUGGACGCCUUGAGUUCACAACAGGCAGGCGGAAUUCGUGGUGUAGCGGUGAAAUGCAGAGAUAUCACGAGGAACCCCGAUUGCGAAGGCAGCCUGCCGGGGUGCGACUGACGCUGAGGCUCGAAGGUGCGGGUAUCAAACAGGAUUAGAUACCCGUGUAGUC
rnacentral:rRNA from 1 species